rnacentral:lncRNA from 1 species
GGUUCUGGUGUUCAUAUGAAUAAAAGAGACAAAAAUGUAUGAUUUAUAACUUCAAAUUAACCAACCCAACUGAUUCAACAUGUUUAGUCCUUUAAUCCUUGUUCAUAGUACUACCUCCAUGAUCUCACACUCCUAAUCAUAUGAGCUAAAAUGUUACACAUUCAAUCUUUGAGAGAUAUAAAGAAAAAGACAUAUACAUAGAUAGAUUAUCUUUCCAUAAGGUUGAGCGAUCUGAUCUGACAAAUGUUAUAAGUACUACACUCAUGAACUUAUCAUCCAUCAACUUUGUCUUGCUCACUAUGCUUAAGGUUAGAGAAGAACAAAUACACUUUUGGUUCUGUUGGUGUUUUCCACCAACAGGACCCAUGCACUUGAUCUCUGCCUUGUCUCUAUGAGCAGGUACACUUCGAGCAAAACAUGGAGGAGUUUUAUAACUCUCAGACUCAACCAAGUGAAGGACCUGGAUCUACGAGCACAAACACACUGAGCAGGAUACUGCCAACGCCGCACUUCGAACUGCUGGGCAAACAAAGAACAUGGGUGACACCGUAUCAAGAGGUGCAGACAUUAAGGUCCGCACCUGAAUCAAAUGACGCACCUGAAGAAUGAACACGGUGAGAAGUCUUGUUCAGAAGACUUAAAACAUUGAACCCUCGCCGAAAGGUAAAAUCGGUAGUUAUCCAUAUUUAUCCUUUCUGCAUUCCCUUUUCCCUUUAAUUACUUACUUUCCUUAAAUAGCUUAUUAGUUAAUCAUACUAUCUUGAAAAGAAAAUAAAAAUGUUAAAAAUACUAAGCCCCAUGUAAGUAUGCUCGUAGCAUAAAACCCAUAAGUACAUUCACUGUAGUGGCGUAAAAAUAAAAUAAAUAUAUUCCUGUCCUAUAGAAAUGAAAAUAUAAAAAUAAAUUUAUGAUCCUACCAAAGAGAGUAACAUUUAUUGAGGAGGCUCAACAUGAUAAAAGCUAGAUAUUUAUGCUAACACUUAACUAGUUACACAAAGCUUUGUUGUCUAUUUGAGCUCCACAGAAUUCAAGGAUCAAAGAAGACUAGCAUACGGAGGACAUCCUAAUCGCUGUCAGGGUGCUGCCGACAUUCAAAUAUACCUCCGCCACCUGCUAGCUACAUCAGAAGAAAUUACGUCAAAUCCAGCUUGGGGGAGAGCACCCUCAUUUAUCCAGCUAAGUGUUUCUACUCGCAUUUAUACUUUAGUCAAAUAAUAAAAAGAUACAUAAUCAUAAAAACCCAAAUAAAGAUUUUGUGCUUAUAUAUAUAUAUAUAUAUAUAUAUAUAUAUAUAUCUUUUCUUAGUUUGCUAAAUAAAUAAAUAAAUAAAGUUUGCUAUGAACCCUCAUGAUAAGCUCUCACAUAGAAAUGAUGAAUAGUUGCUCUGCCAUGACUUGUUCUCAAAAUUGAAAUCUCUCUCAAGUUUAGGCAUGACUGUUAUGAAUUAAGAUUUGCUCUAAACCUGAACUUGUGGGAAGAGUACCUGAUCAAAAGUCUAAGUCAUUAACAAAUAUGAUAUGGGAAGGUUGAGCUGUUGUUUAUCUGUUCCUAGAGAUGCUAGAAUUCUAGAGAAUUUUAUCUUUUAAAAUCAUUAAAAUGUUGCAAGAUGAGUUCAUGUAUGAUGAGAGUUUAAAAUCCUACCACAGCCAUAUAUACAUGCUUAUUAGACUAUGAACCAUACAUUUAGUUUUUACUGCUUAUGAGCAUUGAGUGUGGUCAAGCUGUGUAGACCCUUAGGAGCUUGUCAUGCGGUUAAAAUCAAGAUUCACUUGCACGUUCACUCAUACAUGCUACUUCUACUCUUGAAGUACGCAUCCACAUACAUCCACUCAUUUCCAUCUCCAGAUUCACCCAAAAUGAUUCUACUCCUAUCCGGGAGAGAACAGCCAAAAACAUUAUCCUAUCCCUGUUAUUCCCCGUGAAAUAAAUGCUCGAUAUAUUUUGGUUACUACCACUUGCUACAUUAUUCUAGGAGGGUGAGUGCUCUGAAAAAAAAAGAAGAGAAAAAUACGAGGAAAUAAAAAGGGGCAAGUGCCCGAAACCUCGAAAGAAAAGAAAAAGUGAGACGAGAGGUAAAAAUAGACAAGUGUUCGACAGUAGAAUUAGGGGUACAAGAUACCCACCUAAGAGAAAAGAAAAAGAAAAUAUAGAACAUCUCAUUCCUCUCAAAAACCUUCAAAGUGCAAGAAAGGUAUGUAUCCCCUCAAAAGAGCAGAAGUAGAAUUAGACUUUCACCAUUAUUUUCACAAUCAUCACCAUACACCAUUCAUUCGCCACAUAUGCACAUCUUGAUUUGACUUAUUGACUUGUUUCUCUAGAUCCAUGGUUUGACUAUGCAAUAAAUGUCUUGUAAGUUUGUAUUAGCUGUCUCCCACCUAUGAGCUCCAGAUAUCAAAACCUUGUUAGAGUAGGGUGAGAGAGAAGGCAAUAUCAUUAUGCCUCGUACCAAAAACACCACAUACUUUGAGAGAAGGCACAUAUCAUCACUGCCUUGGUAAGGAUCUAGAAAUACCACAAAAGAGAGACUAGAGAGAGUCAUACAAGGAAUCUCUGAGUUUUAUUUUAAAAAUCUACAAAAACUCCAAAGCUAUAGUUGAUCAAAGAAUAAGAGACAUGGUGCUUGACUUGACCGUUCAAUCUUUUAACUGCUCAAGACACAAGUGAAGGUUGCAAGCCCCAUGGUGGAAGGUAAAAUGAGUAAGUUUUAAAUCUUAACAGUUUACCCUAAUCUAGAGAUGAGAUCUUGUUUAAACGCAUGUGUACCUUUAAGGCAUAAAACCACUACAGAAACUCUUGAGUCCAUCCUUGCUCAGGGACGAGCAAGAGGUAAGCUUGGGGGAGUUGUUGAUGGUCCUUAAGUACUAAAUAUAACCAUCACAUAAAUAAAGAAAAGGAUCCAAAUGCAACCAAAACCCAGACUUAGGGUUUUAUCUGACAAAAUUCCACGAGUUUUGGUGUUUGUCUAUUUCUGCAGGGGGUUAUCAGGAAAUAUGGAGGAAAGGCCCACAUGUCGGGUUUACAUAGAGAUAUGAAUGUGUCGCGCAAUUUUCUAUCAUCUAGAAGACUCCAGAAGCCACAGGAACAAACGGGAGGCCGAGCGGGCUCGGGGGCAGGGCGCCCGCCCUCCCCCCUUGGGCGCCCGCCCUGUCCCAGAGUCCAAUCAGGACUCUCUUCGGGGAUUAUGCUCCACCGACCUAAAGGUUCAAGAAUAACCGUUCAAUCAAUGUCGGUUUGAUCCGACGGCCCAGAUUCACUUGAGGGGACUAUAUAAGCAUACCCCCUGGCCCCUGGAGGAGGCACCCCCUUGAUCCCUAUUCAUUAUUCAUAGACAGAGCAAAAGCUAGGGUUUGGUGAUGAGAGCUCUCCUCUCAUCUCUAAACUAGAGUAUAUCUAGAUAGUAGCAAGAUGGAGAGCGAGGGAGGAUUAGAGGAGAGGCCGGCC